UGAAACGACUUGUUGAAGGUUUCACAGAGAAUUGGAAGCAGAGCAACGUGCAGAACAAAGGGCCUCCUGUCCCUCCGGCUGUCCCCUCCGGGCUCGUCAGUGAUUCUCUUCCUCCUUCAAGUGGGUGAAUUGGGGGCACAUCUGUGAGCAUCUCCCCUGUGGAGCAAGAGAAGGACCAGCGUUGCCUUUCCCGCUUUGACCGCCACAGCAUCCGGCUCGCUCCACCUUCCUGGCCGAGCAGGGGGCCAUGGAAUCUAAGGCAGGCAGGAGCAGGUGUUUUCAGAGCCCUCUUCAGAGAGGCAACCAGCAGCUUGCAAAGGCCCGGCUCGCACCAGCUCAGGUGGGGACCAGCCAGGAGGAGGGUACUUCAUGGCAG